AUUAGAAAAUAUUCAUGACUUCCCUUAUGGGAUUAGUAUAAUACUUGUUAAUAUAAUCAUUAGUAUUAGCCCUUAUUAUAUUUUCACUAGUAAAUAUUCCAUUAUUAUUACCCAUAUUAUUUAGAAGAUGGUUGGUCAGUAUAAGAAUAUUAGAUAAUGUGGUACAUCUAAAUGUGGAUCUAUGAACCAUCAUUAUUAAUACUAAGAGAUUAAUACUCCUAAUAGGAAUAUUACUCAAUCCAUUGUACAAUAAUAAUGAUAAUAAUAUUAUUAAUAAUUUAGGAUUAAAAUCCUAAAGUCUAAGUUUAAGGCUAAACCUUAGGAUAGAAACCCUAAAUUCUACAUUAAAACCCUAAGAUAAAUAAUCUAAACCCUAGGUUAUGAUCUUAAACCCUAGGUAGUGAUUAGAACUUGGACCUAAUUGUACAAGUUCAUAAUUUGUGGUAGGAUACAAUUCUAAGGGCGCAAGCACUUAGCGACACUAGAAGGCGAUUCAAAACAAAAGGUAGCACAGGUGGCCCUGAUGAUGUUCACAUUCAUAUUGGUGAGGAGCAGGCUAUGGUUGACAAGGGUGCAUGAGUAUAUUUGCUAAGGGCUACUACAGGAUUUCACAGCUCAAGAUUAUUGCAAAUUUACUUUGUUUCACAUGUAAUGUCAUUUCAUUUUUUAUUUGUAAAAAUGGAGACAUUGGUUUGUAUAAGUCAUUAUAGGCAACCACUUGUAUAUUCUAAAUGAAAUUUGAAAUUCCCCUUUAUGCU